AGCGUAGGCGGACAUUUAAGUCAGGGGUGAAAUCCCGGGGCUCAACCUCGGAAUUGCCUUUGAUACUGGGUGUCUUGAGUAUGAGAGAGGUGUGUGGAACUCCGAGUGUAGAGGUGAAAUUCGUAGAUAUUCGGAAGAACACCAGUGGCGAAGGCGGCUUACUGGUCCAUUACUGACGCUGAGGUGCGAAAGCGUGGGGAGCAAACA
rnacentral:rRNA from 1 species